rnacentral:tRNA from 1 species
GAAUAUAGCUCAGUUGGUUAGAGCUCUAGAUUGUGAUUCUAGAUGUCGCGGGUUCAAGUCCCGUUAUUC